rnacentral:rRNA from 1 species
UACGUAGGGGCUAGCGUUAUCCUGAAUUACUGGGCGUAAAGGGUGCGUAGGUGGUUUCUUAAGUCAGAGGUGAAAGGCUACGGCUCAACCGUAGUAAGCCUUUGAAACUGGGAAACUUGAGUGCAGGAGAGGAGAGUGGAAUUCCUAGUGUAGCGGUGAAAUGCGUAGAUAUUAGGAGGAACACCAGUUGCGAAGGCGGCUCUCUGGACUGUAACUGACACUGAGGCACGAAAGCGUGGGGAGCAAACAGGAUUAGAUACCCUGGUAGUCCCUGAG